CACCCCUGCAGCCCCUCAGGCCCUGGUUCCUGCCUCCCUCCUCACCUUGAAUGUGCCCCACCCCCAAUAUCCUACCAGGGACCCUUGGCCUGAGGCUGCCCAGGUGACCUUCCCUAAAGCCAGCUCAGUGGCCCUCACAGCCCUGCCACACUCAGCAUCUCUGAGACUCAGUUUCCCCAUCCGUGAGUUGGGGGGGUGGCACCCAUCCCAGACGCCUGUGAGCUUCGUGGGACAGGCCAGCGCCCGGCAGCGGGGAGCCGCUCAGCUCUGCACCGAGAGGGACAAGUGAUGCUGGGCCAGCUGCUGGAGUGUGAGCGACCCCGGGGCGGCCUGGAGGGGCGGGGCGGGAAGGACACGACCCCCGUCAGUGCUGCCCACCUUCGAAGUCAAUCCUCCCGUCCCCGUCGGCGUCGGCUGCCUGGAUCAUGGCCUCCGCCUCCUCAUCUGUCAGCGGGGCGGCGGGCCCGCUGCUGGGGGUGGUGGACAGGACGUACCUGGGCCAGGUGGACCCGGGUCAGAGCCAGGGCGUCUGGCCAGUGCCGGAUGGUUUGCCAAGUGCUCGCUCCCCACUUUACAGGUGGGGAAACUGAGGCCCAGCUAGAGCCGGGUCUGGUGCUGUCCCUGUGGCCCUGGGCAGCCCGGCCCUGCCUCCCGAAAGGGUCUGGAAGGCCUUGCGGAUGACGCCCUCCAGCUGCCCCGAGGCCUGGAGCUUCUGCAUGUACUCGAAGAACUUGAGGGAGGUGCCCAUGGCCAAGGCCACCUUCUUCAUCUGGGAGGACAGGAGCCAGCUCAGUGUGCGCAGCGGGAGGGGCCCUCCGCUCGGACCCUGCACGGUGCCGGCUCCUGCCCUGAGUGGGGUCCCUAGGGGCCCAGGCCAGGCCUCGGGGCCCCCGAUCUUGCAGAGGCCCCUGUGCCCAGGGCCCCAAGGAGGACGAGCCUGAGCCCCCACCUCUUGCUAGCUGGACACCUUGAGGUAUUUCACCCAUUUCACAGAAGAGACUAAAGGUCUGAGACGGUAAGCGAUGCACAGCAGUUCCUUCACUCUGCUCAGGAGAGGUGGCAUUGGCAACCAUCCGAUCCCUCCGUGCUGCCAGGGGAAUUCCCUGUGUCCUUCAAGGCCCAUCUCAAAGCCACCUCCUCUGGGAAGCCUUCCUGGUUACCUAAGCAUCACUUCUUCUGGCCAAAACUCAAGGCCCAGGGGCUUGGCCUCACUCUCCCGGCCCCCAGACAGUGGGCCCUGGUCGUCCCUGCUGGACGCUGACCACCUGUGGUGGGGUGUGCUGGGUCUGGGCCAGUCUGGAG